rnacentral:tRNA from 1 species
GGCCGGUUAGCUCAAUGGAUAGAGCCUACGUUUCCUAAACGUAUUAUGGUGGUUCGACUCCACCACCGGUCA